GGGGGUGCGUCUUCUCUGGUGAGGGGCGCGGUCUUCAAAACCGUUGUGGGGGCGCACCAUUGCGUUCCCAGGUGGGUUCGACUCCCAUGCACUCCCG
rnacentral:tRNA from 1 species